rnacentral:misc_RNA from 1 species
AAGGAUCAUUAUCGAAUUAUAAGCGAGGGUUGUAGCUGGCCUCCCUUUCGGGGGCAUGUGCACGCCUGAGCUCUUAAAUCCACAACACACCUGUGAACCCACCGUAGGCCUUCGGGCUUAUGUAUCAUAUACUCUGAAUGUGUCAUAGAAUGUUCAUGUUGCCUUAAAACGCAAUCAAAUACAACUUUCAACAACGGAUCUCUUGGCUCUC